rnacentral:rRNA from 1 species
UACAGAGGGGGCAAGCGUUAUUCGGAAUUAUUGGGCGUAAAGGGCGCGUAGGCGGCCAUUCAAGUGACGGGUGAAAGCCCGGGGCUCAACUCCGGAAUUGCCUUUAAGACUGCAUCGCUAGAAUUGUGGAGAGGUAAGUGGAAUUCCGAGUGUAGAGGUGAAAUUCGUAGAUAUUCGGAAGAACACCAGUGGCGAAGGCGACUUACUGGACACAUAUUGACGCUGAGGUGCGAAAGCGUGGGGAGCAAACAGG